GGCACUCACAGGUGCUCGCUGACCACUUUUGGGCAAGAUUCGUUCGGGAAUACCUCCCCACCCUGCAGACCAGGCAGAAAUGGCAUUCAGCCACUCCAGAACUCUACAUGGGUGCAGUGAUCAUGUUAGUUGAUCCUCAGCUGCCCCGAGCUUCCUGGCCCAUAGGAAGAGUUGUCAAGAUUCAUCGGAGUGAUGAUGGACACAUCCGGUCGGCUGAUGUUGAGAUAAACGGACAUGUGUACACCCGACCAGUUGCUCGUUUAGUUAUGUUACCUGCAUUGCCAUCUGGGGAAGAUUAGUUUGAGUUUGCACUUAAUGUUUAUUUGAAGCAAAUGUGCCUUGCACAUUUGGGGGCGGCUGUUGUGAAGGCUCAGCCCAUUGUUGAUGACAUCACAGGAAGUGAUGCCGAGUUCCUUUCUUCUUCGGUGGUUUUCUGGAUUUGUUGAGCUAGUUCCUGUUUCCAUGUGCUCUGGGCCAGCAGCAGAGAGAGACUUCAGUUGCCAAAAAACCCUGUCUAACACCACAGUUCAUUCCAGUGGCUGUAUUUUCAAUAUUAAGUAACUGAGAAAAAAAUGUGUGUUGAGUUUCAUCGCAUCACAAAUGUCAACCUGCAAAAACAGUUUUAUUUUGACCUGGACAGACAGACGCAGAGGAUACUGAUCUUGUUGAGACAGAAGGCAGCACGAACCAGCAGGUUUCUAUGCAACUUUCUGCAGCUUUAUGAUAAACAGCAAGAGCAGACUGCUGAUUCCUGUCCUGUACUGGCUUCCAAUAUACAAACGUGAGAAGGACCCACAAUUCUUCAAAGUUUGGAAUAUUAAAGAGUCACCAGAGACAUCAGCAGCACCUCUGUUGGCAUUCUGACCGUCAGCAACAACAACACAAGUUCAGUUCAUUUCUGUCCGCUCAGCACAGCAGUUGUGGUGGAAGAUGAGCUUGUGGUAGGCGACAUUCCCAAAUGGGUAUUUUUUUGAGCGUUAAUGUUUGUAGGGAAAGGGCAGCCUAAGAAAAUGCAGUUUUAUGUGGGAAAAGUGUAAAAAAAAAAGGCUGAUACUCAAUUUUUGCUUUUCUUGAAAUGCAGAAUGCUUUUUUAAUAAAGUUGUAUAAGGAAAUGGUGUAAAAAAGAUUGGUGCACGGUGGUUUAAA